rnacentral:rRNA from 1 species
UACGAAGGUGGCAAGCGUUGUUCGGAUUUACUGGGCGUACAGGGAGCGUAGGCGGUUGGAUAAGCCCUCCGUGAAAUCUCCAGGCUUAACCUGGAAAGUGCAGAGGGGACUGUUCAGCUAGAGGAUGGAAGAGGCUCGCGGAAUUCCCAGUGUAGAGGUGAAAUUCGUAAGAUAGUUGGAAGAACACCGGUGGCGAAGGCGGCGAGCUGGUCCAUUACUGACGCUGAGGCGCGACAGCGUGGGGAGCAAACAGG